rnacentral:rRNA from 1 species
GAUGAACGCUGACAGAAUGCUUAACACAUGCAAGUCGAUGGGGAAGUGGUGCUUGCACCAUGGCAACCAUGGCGGACGGGUGAGUAACGUGUAAGGGACUUACCUGCAGGACUGGGAUAACAGGGGGAAACUCCUGACAAGACCGGAUAAUGUCAUGGAGCUGCAUGGCUUUAUGAUGAAAGGAGACGCCUGCGGAGAGCCUUGCGUCCUAUUAGCUAGUUGGUGAGGUAAUGGCUCACCAAGGCGAAGAUAGGUAGCCGGCCUGAGAGGGUGGACGGCCACAAGGGGACUGAGAUACGGCCCUUACUCCUACGGGAGGCAGCAGUGGGGAAUAUUGGACAAUGGGGGCAACCCUGAUCCAGCAAUUCUGUGUGCACGAAGAAGGUUUUCGGAUUGUAAAGUGCUUUCAGCAGGGAAGAAGUAAGUGACGGUACCUGCAGAAGAAGCGACGGCUAAAUACGUG